UACGUAGGGUGCAAGCGUUGUCCGGAAUUAUUGGGCGUAAAGAGCUCGUAGGCGGUUUGUCGCGUCUGCUGUGAAAACUCGGGGCUUAACUCCGGGCCUGCAGUGGGUACGGGCAGACUAGAGUGCGGUAGGGGAGACUGGAAUUCCUGGUGUAGCGGUGAAAUGCGCAGAUAUCAGGAGGAACACCCGUGGCGAAGGCGGCUCUCUGGGACGGUACUGACGCUGAGACGCGAAAGCGUGGGGAGCGAACAGG
rnacentral:rRNA from 1 species